rnacentral:rRNA from 1 species
AAUAUCAAAGGUGAGCCAGUACAGGAUGGACCCGCGUCUGAUUAGCUAGUUGGUAAGGUAACGGCUUACCAAGGCGACGAUCAGUAGCCGACCUGAGAGGGUGAUCGGCCACCUUGGAACUGAGACACGGUCCAAACUCCUACGGGAGGCAGCAGUGGGGAAUAUUGCACAAUGGGCGAAAGCCUGAUGCAGCAACGCCGCGUGAGUGAUGAAGGCCUUCGGGUCGUAAAACUCUGUCCU